CAGCAGCCGCGGUAAUACGGAGGAUCCGAGCGUUAUCCGGAAUUAUUGGGUUUAAAGGGUGCGUAGGCGGCCAGAUAAGUCAGGGGUGAAAGUCGGCAGCUCAACUGUCGCAGUGCCUUUGAUACUGUUUGGCUUGAAUUCGGUUGAAGAUGGCGGAAUGAGACAAGUAGCGGUGAAAUGCAUAGAUAUGUCUCAGAACCCCGAUUGCGAAGGCAGCUAUCUAAGCCGUUAUUGACGCUGAUGCACGAAAGCGUGGGUAGCAAACAGGAUUAGAUACCCUGGUAGUCCACGCCCUAAACGAUGAUAACUCGAUGUUGGCGAUAUACAGUCAGCGUCUUAGCGAAAGCGUUAAGUUAUCCACCUGGGGAGUACGCCGGCAACGGUGAAACUCAAAGGAAUUGACGG
rnacentral:rRNA from 1 species